rnacentral:rRNA from 1 species
UGAGGAAUAUUGGUCAAUGGGCGAGAGCCUGAACCAGCCAAGUCGCGUGAAGGAUGAAGGUUCUAUGGAUCGUAAACUUCUUUUAUAGGGGAAUAAAGUGAGCUACGUGUAGCUUUUUGUAUGUACCCUAAGAAUAAGGAUCGGCUAACUACGUGCCAGCAGCCGCGGUAAUACGUAGGGAGCGAGCGUUAUCCGGAAUUAUUGGGUGUAAAGGGUGCGUAGAUGGGAAUGUAAGUUAGUUGUGAAAUCCCUCGGCUUAACUGAGGAACUGCAACUAAAACUAUAUUUCUUGAGUGCAGGAGAGGUAAGUGGAAUUCCUAGUGUAGCGGUGAAAUGCGUAGAUAUUAGGAGGAACACCAGUGGCGAAGGCGACUUACUGGACUGUAACUGACGUUGAGGCACGAAAGUGUGGGGAGCAAACA